rnacentral:lncRNA from 1 species
CUCUGUACAUGUUCUUUUUAGAUACAAGAUGAUGAUCAAUGCCAAACUUCCUCGAGAGGAUCAUAUUCGAGCGACCCUUGUGUGGUUAAUUACUCUAAAACAUGUUGGGAAUGUAAGAUUUGCUAAAGGACAUGUAAGUAAAAUAUGCAAAUUCUUUCACCAAUUGUUGGAUGUGCAUGAGGGAGGGGAGGGGAGGAGAAGAAACUAAAGUGCCAUGGGUAGACCCAGCAACAAGAGUGU